UUCAGUCGCCACCACAACUGCCAAAAUGAGCAGCCUAGCGUUCAGUCGCCACUACAACUGCCAAAAUAAGCAGCCUGGCGUUCAGUCGCCACUAUAGUUUCUAAAAUAAACAACGUGGCCUCAAAAAAUAGUUACGAAUGCGACGAUUGGGAAACUCAACACACGAAUCCAAAUACACGAAUUACACCUUAUAAGAAUAAACAUCUUAACGUUAUCGUUCACUGGUAACUACGUUCUGUGAUAUACAUACAUACAGCAUAUAAUAAGGCUUUUCUCAAAUUAAGCAAUAACAAUUGAGCAAAUACAAACGGCCAACAUCAGAAGAUAAAUACUGAACAAUAAUAAAGAUUAGACAUUAAAUGCUUUUCUUUCAGUAUUCGUCCAUUACGGAACCUAAGAAGAUAUCAAACAAUACUGAACAAAAUAUCAAGUAAUGAUGUAUCAAUUACUUAAAUUACAGUAAAAAUAUCAUCGAAAGGAAAAUUGAAGAAAAUAAAGAGGAAAGAAUGAAGGAUAACUGGUCAAGGAAAAUUACAAGAUUCCAAAGAAAGCACGAUCAAUACUAUCUGAAAGCAAAACCUACAAAAAAAUCGCCGAUUAAAACUUUAAGGUCAUCUUCGACAAGGAAAAAGUCGAAAUCGUGGAUAACAAUAUAAAUAUGAUUCUUAUCGCUGAUACCGUUAAGGGAUAAAAAUCCAGGGUCCGCGUCCAAAGGUCGCGUGAUCGGGAGGGAAGGAGGCUCGGCUGCGCUGGCGGUAAGGCGAAUCGG